AGCCGCGGUAAUACAUAGGUCACAAGCGUUAUCCGGAAUUAUUGGGCGUAAGGCGUUCGUAGGCGGUUUGUUAGGUCUGGAGUUAAAGACUGGGGCUCAACCCCAGCCCGCUCUGGAUACAGGCUAACUAGAGUUACAUAGAGGUAAGUGGAAUUCUUAGUGGAGCGGUGAAAUGCGUAGAUAUUAGGAAGAACACCCAUGGCGAAGGCAGCUUACUGGAUGUACACUGACGCUCAGGGACGAAAGCGUGGGGAGCAAACAGGAUUAGAUACCCUGGUAGUCCACGCCGUAAACGAUGAUCAUUAGCCGCUAGAAUAUUUAGUGGCGCAGCUAACGCAUUAAAUGAUCCGCCUGAGUAGUAUGCUCGCAAGAGUGAAACUUAAAGGAAUUGACGGGGACCCGCACAAGCGGUGGAGCAUGUGGUUUAAUUUGAAGAUACGCGUAGAACCUUACCCACUCUUGACAUCUUCCGCAAUACUAUGGAGACAUAGUGGAGGUUAACGGAAUGACAGAUGGUGCAUGGUUGUCGUCAGCUCGUGCCGUGAGGUGUUAGGUUAAGUCCUGCAACGAGCGCAACCCCUGUCUUUAGUUACUAACGGAUAAUGCCGAGGACUCUAGAGAGACUGACUGGGUAACCAGUAGGAGGGUGGGGACGACGUCAAAUCAUCAUGCCUCUUACGAGUGGGGCAACACACGUGCUACAAUGGACGGUACAAAGAGAAGCAAUAUGGUGACAUGGAGCAAACCUCAAAAAACCGUUCUCAGUUCGGAUUGAAGUCUGAAACUCGACUUCAUGAAGUUGGAAUCGCUAGUAAUCGUAGAUCAGCUACGCUACGGUGAAUACGUUCUCGGGUCUUGUACACACCGCCC
rnacentral:rRNA from 1 species